CUGUACUGCACCGAAUCGUUAUGAGCGAUGGAGGGACGCAGGAGGCUAGCAGCGCGUGGUGCUGGAUACCACGUUCAAGCGUCAAGUCUGAUAGCGAGUCAAAUGCUUGCUCUCAUAAGGACAAGGCGUGAUGAGGAGCGAAAUUAAAGUAGCGAAGGUUGCGACGUCACACUGCCGAGAAAAGCUUCUAGCCAGAGACGGUGCACCCGUACCGCAAACCGACACAGGUAGUCGAGGAGAGUAUCCUCAG
rnacentral:rRNA from 1 species